AUUGAACGCUGGUGGCAGGCCUAACACAUGCAAGUCGAGCGGAUGAAGGGAGCUUGCUCCUGGAUUCAGCGGCGGACGGGUGAGUAAUGCCUAGGAAUCUGCCUGGUAGUGGGGGAUAACGUCCGGAAACGGGCGCUAAUACCGCAUACGUCCUGAGGGAGAAAGUGGGGGAUCUUCGGACCUCACGCUAUCAGAUGAGCCUAGGUCGGAUUAGCUAGUUGGUGGGGUAAAGGCCUACCAAGGCGACGAUCCGUAACUGGUCUGAGAGGAUGAUCAGUCACACUGGAACUGAGACACGGUCCAGACUCCUACGGGAGGCAGCAGUGGGGAAUAUUGGACAAUGGGCGAAAGCCUGAUCCAGCCAUGCCGCGUGUGUGAAGAAGGUCUUCGGAUUGUAAAGCACUUUAAGUUGGGAGGAAGGGCAGUAAGUUAAUACCUUGCUGCUUUGACGUUACCAACAGAAUAAGCACCGGCUAACUUCGUG
rnacentral:rRNA from 1 species